ensembl:lincRNA
CAGGGGCCUCGGGCAAAGUCCCAAUCCGGCCCGCCUGGCCACCCGUUUGCCUGCGUCGCCCACAGACUUGCAGUCAGAAACUUCCUCGGAGGAAUGCAGCCUGGGAAGACCGAGCGUCGGAGGGCUUGGAGCGCCGUGGCAGCUGGAUAGUAUUCGGGCCCAUCCGAAUAAGCGAGUCCAGUGUCUCCGGCAGCAGGAGCUUGGCAGGAUCUUGGAUGGCCAUCUUUCUCCUGAUGCUGAUACGAUGGAUCCUGGGAUAAAAGCCUGCCCAGAUACCAUCCCCACCCCUAAUCCUUGCUCUCUGGUUACUUGCCUGAGGCAAGGGUGGAGUGGAAGACAAGUUAGGGAGAGUCAAGUAGUCUGUUCUCUUGUUAGGGACCACAGAGAUUGGGGGUGAAGAUGGAACCGAUGUAUGGCCCAACUCUUGGUGGUGAGUGUGGCUACUAAGCACUGGGUUGCGUUUUCCCAUCCCACCUUCUCUUCUCAUCUCUUAAACUCUUCCAGAGGGGGAUUGGGUUGUUCAGUAUGCUACGGGGUGGUGCAGAGGGUAUGGCCAAUAAACAGCAGGGAAUUCGACUUUGUCUGGCUCCUUUCUGUCGUAAUCUGACCAUAAGGCCUCAGGGCUCCAGAAGGAUUGGGAAUGGGGAGAUAGUGUGAGAAGUCACUUUAUUUCUAUGGGUCUCAGUUUCCCCAGAUGUAAAAUCAAAGAGUUUUACCAGAUGAUCUCUGCGUCAACAUGUGGACUCUAUGAGUCUCAUUCCAAGAAAAGUUCCUGGGGCUUGGCCAGCAGGUCCUAAGUCCCCUUUCUUUUUUCUGUAAAAUGGACAAUAAUUAUUCAAUUUCAGAAUGAGGAUACAUGUAUCCAUAUAAUAUUAUCAGACCUUUCUCCUGUCUUUAAUCAUUUCUGAGCUCAUUAGCUCCCCCUUCCCAGUAGAGGAUGGAUACAGACAGCAAUGUUUGUGCUAUCAUAUACUCAUUAAAAAACAGGUUGGACUCUAUUAUGUACCUGGUACUGUGUUAGGCCCUGGGGAUUCAACAGUACACAAGACUCAGUCUUUAAUCUUACAGAGAGAACAGUGGACAGUUGAGUGCAGGCAAUAGGUAGUGUGGUCCAGGAAGCAGGACGGGCCUUAUAAAUUGGAAGAGGUGGUACCUACCAGUGAGGGAGAAUUUCACAAAACCACAGGAAGGCCUUGUUGCUUUUCUUUGUUGCUUUGUUUUUGAAAUACUAUUUUUUAUUGAUGUCCAUGAUCAUUUUAGAAAUUAAUUUCCUGGGAAUAAAUGUUGCCACAAGCAACAUAAUAAAAGUUAAGUUUAACAGUCUUAAUAUUUCAUUUUCUGACAUUUUGUUGUCAUUUAAUGUUUUAACAGUUCCUGAAAAAAAUGUGGUCAAAUGACCAACCCAUAUUAUUUUUUCAUGCACGUCAAAGUCACACAUUUAUUAAAUCAGCAUACAAUUAAUUAAUUACAUUUCAUUGGGAAUUCAUAUUGACUUUAUAGGUCUGGAGUAGACUAUUUAUUUAUUUAUUUAUUUUUUGUUUGUUUGUUUUUGAGACAGAGUCUCGCUUGUUGCCCAGGCUAGAGUGAGUGCCAUGGCGUCAGCCUAGCUCACAGCAACCUCAAACUCCUGGGCUCAAGCAAUCCUACUGCCUCAGCCUCCCGAGUAGCUGGGACUACAGGCACGUGCCACCAUGCCCGGCUAAUUUUAUAUAUAUAUAUUAGUUGGCCAAUUAAUUUCUUUCUAUUUUUAUAGUAGAGACAGGGUCUUGCUCAGGCUGGUUUUGAACUCCUGACCUUGAGCAAUCCGCCCGCCUCGGCCUCCCAGAGUGCUAGGAUUACAAGCGUGAGCCACCACGCCCAGCCUGGAGUAGACUAUUUAAACAGCACUGCUAGAAAAGGCAUUAACCCUUCCCCUUAUUUAAAAGAU